UACGAAGGGGGCUAGCGUUGUUCGGAAUUACUGGGCGUAAAGCGCACGUAGGCGGAUCGAUCAGUCAGGGGUGAAAUCCCAGGGCUCAACCCUGGAACUGCCUUUGAUACUGUCGAUCUGGAGUAUGGAAGAGGUAAGUGGAAUUCCGAGUGUAGAGGUGAAAUUCGUAGAUAUUCGGAGGAACACCAGUGGCGAAGGCGGCUUACUGGUCCAUUACUGACGCUGAGGUGCGAAAGCGUGGGGAGCAAACAGG
rnacentral:rRNA from 1 species